ACGCAUAGGAUCCUUCCAGUAAGUUGGGUCAGAAUGAAUACCGUGUAAUGCGACAUAUACCGGUGUCUCCUUUUCAACAGUUAUCUUCGUGCCGGGGAACUGCAAUAUACUUUCUUUCAGUUUACGAUUACUUUUAAAUCCGACAAAUAUCAAUACAUUUAUAGAUUUAAAAAAAUGUAUUUAAUGAUUGAUAUACAAAUAUUAUUAAAUACGAAGAUCCAUUUCAACUGAAAACUGUCACCUCAGAAAAGAUUUCUAAUAACAA
rnacentral:lncRNA from 13 species